rnacentral:lncRNA from 9 species
AAAUAGUGUAUUCUUUUCUCCUUGCUCGUAUUCUCUCAUAAUUCGUUCUCAUGUGAAUUCCUCAUAUUUCUGGUGAUUCAAGUUAAUAAUGUCACCUCAGGAGUUCCUGUUGUGGCUCAGUGGUUAAUGAACCCGACUAGUAUCCAUGAGGUUUUGGGUUUGAUCCCUGGCCUCGUUCAGUGGGUUAAGGAUCUGGCAUGGCCGUGAGCUCUGGUGUAGGUCAAAGACAAUGCUCGGAUCCAGUGUUGCUGUGGCUGUGGUGUAGGCUGGCAGCUGCAGCUCCAAUUUGACCCCUAGCCUGGGAACCUCCAUACACUGUGGGUGCGGCCCUAAAAAGACAAAAGACAAAAAAAUAAAUAAAAUAAAAUAACGUCAUGUCAUACUUUUUCUCCUCCAGAGUCUAGCUGUGUAAUUAACCACUCUCACCACCACCAAGCACGCUGGGACCUGCCACUAAUCGUUGUUUUCUGUCUGAAGAUAGUAAAGAUAGUGACUCCUCCCCUUUUAAGGCCAAGGACAAGGGAAGCCGACCAAGUGGCUCAGGUGCUGCAGUUGCUGGCAGAGAAGCAGUGGUCACCCACCUGCACCAUCAUCCCACCCCCACCCCCACUGCACAACGUCUGCAGAGAAACCCCAAGGAGAUUCAUCAGCCUGCAUCUCUGAUUUGUAAUUGCACUUAAGGCUAUGAAGGCGGCAGUUUGGGCCAUUUGCUGGAGAGGGCUGGCAAGGUCCCAGAAUCCUUGUGUAAUGAAUCUGUUAUGUUAAUCCCAUUAGUCUUCUACUAUCUGCCACUUCUGACUAGGUCCCUCCCUCAUCCCUCCCCCAAUCAAAUCUCCCUUCCCCUCGUGACAAGUUCCCAUAAGCCAGGACUGAGUGGGCCUUGCUCACCAGACUAGUUUUAUCAGAAAUUGACAGAGGCCAUGUUGGGUGACUGGGGCAAUGCCCUCAGGUGAAACACAGAGGCUUGGUUUGCAGAGGUCCAAGAGGUCAUGGAACUUUCCCCUUUUGUUCUUGAGAGCAGUGGUUAACAAUCAUUAGGGGGCACACACACAAAUCAUCUUAGGAUCUGUAUUUUUAAUAACAUAUUUAACAUUCCUAUGGCAGGUGGUCCAUUGAACAGUAUCUUGAGAGAUCCUGUUUGAUAGCAUCUUUUUUUUUUUUUUUGUCUUUUUGCUAUUUCUAGGGCCGCUCCCUCGGCAUAUGGAGGUUCCCAGGCUAGGGGUCUAAUCGGAGCUGUAGCCACCGGCCUACACUCCGAGCCACGUCUUCGACCUAUACCACAGCUCACGGCAACGCUGGAUCAUUAACCCACUGAGCAAGGGCAGGGACCGAACCCGCAACCUCAUGGUUCCUAGUCGGAUUCGUUAACCACUGCGCCACGACGGGAACUCCAGAUAGCAUCUUUUGUGUGUGUGUGUGUGUGUGUGUGUGUGUGUGUGUGAUUUUCUUUCUCCUUUCUUUUUUUUUAAAGUAUAGUUGAUUUAUAAUGUUGUAAAUCAUUGUAAUUUCCAAUUUUUGUUGUACAGUGUAGUGACCCAGUCUCAUAUAUAUAUAUAUUUUCUUUUUCUCAUACUGUCUUCCAUGACAGCAUCUCUGAUGGAUGGUUUCUGCUCUCUGAUGGAUUCUUUACUCUCUGAAUCUAUGAGAAAUAAGUCACAUCCUUAUCUCAUAUGACCAUUUUUCUUAUAUUUGGAUCUAGGCCCCAUGGGCCUGUGUCACAGGAGAAAAGGGUACUGGUUUUAGACUCACACAAAUGUGAGCUUACAUUCCAGUUAGGCAGGUAACUGCUGUGCGAUUGGGGGCACUCAACAUCCUGUGGAUGGUUGUGAAACAGGAGGGAAGGGGGCAGGGCACACCCCGUAAAAGAAGGACAUAGUCCUUCAGGAUAUGACAAAAACUAGUUAGAACCAACAAGGUCCAAGAUGGUGAAUGAUUUGACUUCCAAUGGACUUUGACCUUCAUUAUGUGUUCACUGUAGCACAUUAGCAUGCUGAAUGACAUGUCCAUAGGUGCCAGGACAGCUCCAAGGCUGACCACAAAAGGCCAAAAAGUGGGCGGUGGUCCAAUUCCUAGAAACCGCCCACCCCUUCCCAGAAAUAAUUAGAAUAAUCCUCUCACUCAUUAGCCUGUGAAAUUGCCCAGCUCAUAAAAACUCACCACCCCAUAUUUCAGGGCCUCUUAGCUCUUGCCUUCUGAGGUGGCCCACACUCUGUCUGUGGAGUGUGUUUCUCCCAGGGCCCUCUCUCCCCUUUUGAGACAGCCCAUGCUUUGUCUAUUUCUCAAUAAAUCUACUUACCUAUCACUUUGCCUCUUGCUGAAUUCCUUCUGUGCUGAGACAUGAAAAACCCGAAAUUCAGUAAGACUUGGGACUAGGCUGUGAUUUUAUUAUUUUUUUUAAUUUUUUAUUUUUUUGAAGUGGAUUCAAGUCCCCAUCUGGAUUU